CGUAGGUGGCAAGCGUUGUCCGGAUUUAUUGGGUUUAAAGGGUGCGUAGGCGGUUCCAUAAGUCAGUGGUGAAAUACGGCAGCUCAACUGUCGAGGUGCCAUUGAUACUGCGGAACUUGAGUACUGAUGAGGUAGGCGGAAUUGACGGUGUAGCGGUGAAAUGCUUAGAUAUCGUCAAGAACACCGAUAGCGAAGGCAGCUUACCAAGCAGUAACUGACGCUGAGGCACGAAAGUGCGGGGAUCAAACAGGAUUAGAUACCCUGGUAGUCCGCACAGUAAACGAUGAUUACUCGAUGUUGGCGAUACACAGCCAGCGUCUUAGCGAAAGCGAUAAGUAAUCCGCCUGGGGAGUACGCCCGCAAGGGUG
rnacentral:rRNA from 1 species